rnacentral:rRNA from 1 species
CUUUAGCAUUCUCAGUAGUAGAAUAAAUCAAAACUCAAUAUAAUGGCGGUCUUAGUAUAUUAGAGAAACUCGCUUUUUAAUCGAUAAUACUCGUUCACUUUCACUUUCUAUUACAGCUUAUAUACCGCCGUAUAGAGUUUGUUCAACGACAUCAAUUCUAUUUCUUAUAAAAUUAACAAAAAAAAUCAGGUCAAGGUGUAGCCUAUUAGAAAGAAAAAGUAAGUUACAUUAAAAACAAUUUAAGAAGAUUUAACAUAAAAAUGAAAUGGAAAAAGAAUUUAUCAGUACACUAAUAUUAAAAAUAUAAGUCGAACUCCGAUACUAAGACGC